rnacentral:lncRNA from 1 species
UUUGGCGACAACAUCUUUAACAUUGGUUUUCUGAGUGCCACUGAAGUUCAAGAAGUUGAUGGUGCUAUUACCUUGUGUCUCGAUAUUCUGUUGUGGGAGGUUGAUGAACUUGAUCCGGUGUGAUAUGGAUGAGUCCGCGAAGGACUCAAUGUAGGCAUCAAUGGGGUCUGAGCUGAACGGAAACUUCAUGAUGAGGACAGUGAUUAAGAGUCGGUCAUCUCGAGACAGGAGGAGCUUUGCCAACUCCACCGUCGACACGAGGUGGCCAAUGCCUGGGGAUGGGAUGAACACUAUCUCUACCCAUUGCUUCAUUUUGGGAGAUUUAGACGGGGUGCGUAAGAGUUCUCUGAAGAAGAUAUAAUUUGUGUGAAGGUAUUGCAAUGAAAAGCUAAGCUGAUAGAGAUGUCUAUUUAUAUGAAUAUGCAUGUGGUUAGAUGGUGCUAAAUUAAUUUAGAUAUCACUAAAACUUCAUUAUUUGUCUCCCAAGAUUUAGGUGAUGUCAUGCCUUUGCUGUCAACUGCCAAAUGUUGUUUCUCUUGUUAAUUCAUUUACCUUGCAGUUGAUGCGAAGCUUCAUAGAUACUCAUGUAAGAAAAAUAGGGACAUCACAUUAUCCAAAACGCCUUGGUUGGCACGAAAUCCACGAAUGAUGUAAAAGUAGGAAAGUGAUUUAGUUUUAUUUUCAGAAAAAUAUUAAAUGUAAUUUGUUCAGUUUCUAUCCAGAACGGAAACCCGCUUUGAAAUUAAAGUAUGAGGCUUCUUAUUUAGUUCACUUUGAAGUCACUUUUUCACAUUUUUACUGUUCAAUGUCUAGAAGAUAGUGUGUAGAUUAUUUCUGCAAAUUUUCAAUUAAUUUAGAGAUCAUUUGGAUAUCGAAUUAGAUUAAAUGAAUCAACAGAACAAAAUCUGUCAAAGCAUAACCUUUUGUGUAAUGUACGAUUAUAGAAGCUGAAAUGAUCUUCAAAUUGGAUGAACCUUUGCAUAAAUGAUCUACACACUAUAUGUUAUAGACAUUGAAUGGUGAAGAUAUAGAAAUGUGACUUGAAAGUGAAACAAAUAAGUUAGGAGUCUCAAAUUUUAAUUUCAAAACUAGGUUAUGCUCUAGAUAUGAACUAGUAAAUUUGUUUUGGUAUUUCUAUGGGGAUGUUUAAUACAUGUUGGAAACAAAAUACUAGUAUUAAUUCAUAUUGUAGUGUUUGGUAAGUCAUAAAAAUGAAAUACAAAAUUUUAAUUUUCAAUAACGCCCCUUCAUAAUCUCCAAAUACAUAAUUAAAUUUUUAGAUGGAUAAUAGAAUAUCCACCCCUAACAAGAUAAUUUAAUUAAAGCUUUAUGAGGGAGUCAAUUUCUAGUCGGAUCUAUUUUUUUGUUUCCUUUCCAGUUUUUAUUUACAACCAAUCAACCUCUUAAUAUAGAAAACCAUAUUAAUUCCUAUUGCAUACCAUGAUUUCCUACCAACCAAAUGGGGGCCUUAAAGAAUUAUCAGAUGAGUUCAUAUUAGGUAAAUAACAGAAUUAUAUGAUUAGAAAUCCUAGUUAUUCUCUAAGGUAUAUAUCUAUUUAAGUAGGAGACUUGUGUAUUGAUAACCUGAUCGACAUGAAGGUAUUGUGAUAUAUAUGUUUAGAUGUUAUUCUGAUAAGGAUGAAAUCAUUACAACUAGGACUCCUUAUUAGUACAAAUUGUGAUCCUUGGCCAAUAUAUUAACAGAUGAAACAGAUGAAAGUCCCCAAGUUCAACACAGUUCCUUGCAUUCAUAUCAGUCUCAUUCUGCAGCAAAUUCAUGUUGAAAUUUAGAAGGCUAUCUCUCGAUCUCGCUGACUCAAUGGUAGGAUUUGCAGCACGCGCUGACUAUGGAUGCUCAAGCCUUGGAGCACUUGGAUCUGAAGGAGUUAGUUAUCCUAUUGGAACUAGGAAACUCCCAACUGUAUUGUUUCUGGUUUAAUUUGAGUUGUAUGAAUGUAUUUGUGAUUGUGUAAAAUGAUGACCUUGCAGUUCAGUUUUGCUAUCCGAUGGCUCACAUUGAGCUAGAGGUGGUUGAGAAAUAUAAUCAUUUUAAAGAACUUAGACAAGAAUUUAAACUUGUGUAUAAUUUUUCUAUAUUAAUAAUCAGUAUUCAAUCUAACGCACAAGCAGUUGUUGUACUUCGAGAAGAGGGAUCGGGGUCCUCAAGAGUGGAAUGAAUUUGUACGUGACCUUUACGAAAGUUAAACAUCAUAUUUAAGGUUUGAUUGGUCUCCAGUCAAAUUACGUAGGAGAAUUGGAUAUGGGAUUAUGAUAUCUAUGAUACAGAUGAUUUGUCUGUUCAAUUUGUAGAGCAUCUCGCUUACUAAACAUAGCUAGAGACACGAGCAGUAUGUUAAAACAGUACAGCUAGCAUGCACUUUUCAAACAGAAAAGAACUAUCCACCAUGUUCACAUAUCAUAAGAAUGAAACAGUACUCUCAAAUUCAAUCAUGAAGAAAUAUAAUAUGACACACUCAUUGGUAGUUAAUGAUCAUAGAACAAUAUGAAAGCUUUCCGAUCCCCAAAUCUGAUCAUAAGCUUUAAAUUUGAUCAAUAAAGUGUCCUAACGAAGCAUAUGAGGAACCCCCAUCCAUCAAAGCUUUCUUGCUAUUAUCACUCACUUGUCUCACUCUCUUCCUUAUAUCACUAUCGAGCUCCAUCAGCUCCUUUAUUCCACGCUCAAUUUUCUCUGCGGUCACAACAACCGGACCCUCCUCCCUAUAACUCAUAUCAAUUUCCACGGCUAUCCCUAGUUCCUUCACUAGCUGGAAUGCAUUGACUUGCUGCUCGGCAUACAAGGGCCAAGUGGCAACCGGGACUCCGAACCACAAGCUCUCCAGAGUUGAAUUCCACCCACAAUGGGAGACGAAACCUCCAACUGCUGGAUGUCCUAGGAUGGCAACUUGUGGCGCCCAGCCUAUAACUUUUCCGACUCCCGCCGUCCGAUCAAGGAACCCUUCAGGUAACACUCCUGUGUGAUCGGCAUAGUCGCUGGGAACACCAUUCUUUCCCUUGGGUGGAGGCUGACGUAGUGACCACAGAAACCGAAACCCUCCCUGCUCCAACGCGCAGGCAAUCUCUUUCACCUGGUCUUCGCUGAAGCUUCCCAUGCUCCCGAAGCACAGAAACACUACAGACGAUGGAGGCUGAUCAUCGAGCCAAUUCAAGAUAUCAGACUUCUGCUUCGAAUUCACUUGAUCAUUGUUGUCAUCGCUCUUCAGGUUGAGUAUGGGUCCAACCGGAUACACAGGAGGGAGCUUACCAUCAGAACUGAGAGAAAGAAGGGCAUGCGACUCCAGCUCUGUGAAUGUAUUGAUCACAAUACCCUUGACAUCUCUAAGCCUUUUGGCUAUGUUGACGAACCUGUUGCUGGCCUCCUUGUCGAAGAAGACACUUGGUAAGACUCUAGCAGCAGGCAAGGGAUGGGAGUAACUCGGGACCACCAAAUCAGUAGCCGAGUCCUUGAACUCAAUGCAGUGCUUGUUGUGAUCAUCACGAAGUGCUUGAAGGUGGAACAUGAGCCCGAGCAUGGCUGCGCCGGACGUGAAAAACGCGUAGGUAGGAACCCCCAAUUCGUUGGCUACGUCGAUCAUAGAGGUACAAAACAUGUCGAUGACAAACCCGGCGAGUCGAGUCUCGGUCUUGGACUCGAUGAGUUUGACGACAACAUCUUUAACGUUCGUUUGCUGACUGUCGAUGAAGUUGAAGAAGUUGAUGGUGCUAUUACCUUGUGUCUCGAUAUUCUGCUGUGGGAGGUUGAUGAACUUGAUCCGCUGUGAGAUGGAAGAGUCCGCAAAGGACUCAAUGUAGGCAUCAAUGGGGUCUGAGUUGAACGGAAAUUUCAUGAUGAGGACGGUGAUGAAGAGUCGGUCAUCUCGAGACAGGAGGAGCUUUGCGACCUCC